rnacentral:misc_RNA from 1 species
AAGUCGUAACAAGGUAACCGUAGGUGAACCUGCGGUUGGAUCAUUAAUAAAUUUAAUGAAUUUUGAGUUACUUGAAAAAGUACUCAAUUUUUCAACCAAAAUGUGAAUUUUUAAUUGUCUCUGAUGGGUUAAAACUUGCUAGUUUAUUUUUAAACUUUGGCAAGGGGCAUUUUAUGUCUACCUAUCAAUUUAUUUGAACCAAGUAUUUCUAUUAUGCCAAAAAUUUUAUAAAAUGAAUAAUUUUAAAAACAACUUUUGACAACGGAUCUCUUGGCUCUC